rnacentral:rRNA from 1 species
GCCCUACGGGAGGCAGCAGUGGGGAAUAUUGCACAAUGGGGGAAACCCUGAUGCAGCAACGCCGCGUGAGUGAAGAAGUAUUUCGGUAUGUAAAGCUCUAUCAGCAGGGAAGAAAAUGACGGUACCUGAGUAAGAAGCCCCGGCUAACUACGUGCCAGCAGCCGCGGUAAUACGUAGGGGGCAAGCGUUAUCCGGAUUUACUGGGUGUAAAGGGAGCGUAGACGGCAGCGCAAGUCUGGAGUGAAAUGCCGGGGCCCAACCCCGUCGUGCCGUUGAAACUGGCGUUCUUGAGUGAGCGAGAAGUA